rnacentral:lncRNA from 1 species
GAGCAAUUAAGGUUUAGAUCAGUACAGAGCUCUCUGUGGAGCUGAGUCUUUGAAGGGAUUUGUGUUGUUGCCAUUCUUCUAAGAUUAUGGGUAAUUUGGGGGUCUGUGGGUCAGCUUCCCAAUUACAAGGGACAGGCACUGCCUCUUUGGAAGAGAUCACCAGGAAAAUUUUGGGUCAACAGCAUCCAAGCCCUUCAUUCUUCAAUUCUACUCAUUGGAUUGUUCCUGAGUGUUUUCCUCUCCUUAUGAGCAGCUAUUGGCAAAGAGAUCUUGUGAAGAGAAUGAAGAUUCAUUCAUACAACAAUGAAAUCCUCAGUAAAUGUCUAAGAAGGGAGGAUCAGCCUAUCUAAGCUUGAAGAAUCUGCUGCUGAAAGGUUGACCAUCACACUGGGGUGAGUUUUUUCCAGCAACAACAAUUUGUGAAACUACUAUUACAGGAUGGAGAGUUUUUAUCUCCACCAGUAUACCUACAAUAAGAAAAUCAUGGAUCUGUGAAGUAAUUGAAACUGGUAAGAAAUUGAAUAAGCAAGUAGGGGAUGGCACAAUAUCUUGCCCAUAUUGGGUACUUGAUGGAUGGUUGUUGAACUGAACUGGAGGCAUUCAGGUGGGAGGAAAGCAUAAGGAGAGAUAUGUGAUGCUUAGAAAAUUGUUCUAAAGCAUUUCAAAAUGCCAUUUUUGUCCAUAAUCCUGAGCAAAAUCGAAUAUGUGUCUUUGAGGAAGCUGCAUAUUUCUGAUGUCUUAUUGGAAAAAGGAAAUAUAACACUGGACUUAUCUACUCUAUGUAUAAUUUCUGAAAAUAAUACCUCCAAACCUCCAUGGUCUUGUGUGUUCAGUGUAUAUCAUAUGCUUGAUGACAAUAGUGAACAGCAAGAAUGAUAACCUGACAGUUUUGUUUUCAUUAAGUUAGACUUUAAAUUUCCUUUUGAGUGCCUUGAAUCAAUUUUCAGUCCCAUCAGAAGCCCUGUUCAGAGAAGACAUAAGAGCUGAUCAGAGUUCUGGAGUUCUUGUUGCCAUAUGAUGUAUGAGGCUAUGAAAAUCUAGUAAUCAAACAUCUUCCUGGCUGUUGGCUGUCUGGGCUUCUUAGUACUCAAGGAGUAACUAAACACAAAUUGAAAUGGACAACUAAGGGAAUGAUCUGGGGCUUCAAACCAAAAUCCACUCUUUUGACUCAAUUUCUUCUAUGGCUCAUACAAAAAUAAUUUAGGGGACUGAAUAAAAUCUCCACUCAAGUGAUGGAUUGCA